GGUCGCUUAGCUCAGUUGGUAGAGCGCCACCCUUACAAGGUGGAUGCCGUAGGUUCGAGUCCUACAGCGACCA
rfam:Helicobacter sp. CLO-3 strain HMC1 NODE_2, whole genome shotgun sequence.